CCAAAAAUGAAAGCAGUAAGUUUUAGGACAAAUGGUUUCAUUCUCCAACAUGCCACCGAAAAAGUGGUUUCAAAAACUCGACCUUCGACCAUAAAGGUCCAACUUGAAAUACGAGAAGUAUUAGCAAUUACACUGAUGGAUCAGUCGGAAUCCCAAACUCAAAUAACAACUCUAUCGAUUAUAACCUCUUGCAUAAUCGGCUACAACAAUUUGAUAUUUUAUUUAUCAAUGACUCUUGAGUCUUUUAUUUAUGCUAACCUUGGACUCUUGUCUAACUAGAUAUGCAGUUCAUGAUACUCAUUUGCAUUCCUUGUAACCACUACGAACUACAAUUGCUUACUCUCCAACAUCUACCCAUCGAAAGAAAGACAACUUACUACAUCAACCAGAGAACUAGUUUCCCAUCAUCAUGCUAAAGCAGUCACAGUGAGAGUCUGAGAGAUUUCGGAGGAUACCCCCUAAAAACUCUCCUCUAUCCACAUGGAAAUUUAAAAUUUAAAAUUGUACGCACCAUUUUUCCAUACUAAAGCACAAAGUGUGCUAAUCACCAACUUGCUUAAAUAUCACAUGCAAUAUUCACAACAACCGGAAGGACUCGGAAACGUUAGCGCAUUACUCCGGAGCCUAGAUCAGAACCGAAGAUUUCUAA